CACAGUAGACCAAGUUAUUUGAGUCCUGAGUGCUGUUAAAUGCUCGCUUGCCUUUAUUUACACUGUGCUAGAACAUGAUGUUCAUCAGGAGAUUUGGUGUAGGAGAGAGUCCCCCACGGCCAAGAACAGCAGGGGCUGCCAGCCAUCCUCCUGAAACCACAGCAGAGCCAAGAGUGGGAGCUUGUUCACACUUCGACUGCAUGGAUUUGCAACUUCAGUUUAAUAGGCUCAACAGUGCCGACACCAAACAAAUCCCUCCCUGUCCCAGAAGCAGCCCGGCUUCUGGGCUGAGCUACUAAGAAAGAAUUUGCUUAUAAUAUGAAGCCUGGAACCUGGAUAGGAGUCCACUUACUGUGGGUAUGUGUUGGUUCAUGUGCUCACUUCAAAGAGUCUACCAGUGCUUCACCCAUCUCUGCUUUUCUGGUAUCCAGAGGCUCCCAGUUUUCAGGCCGACGGUCUAUCCACUGAGCCACACCAGUUAGAGCCCCCUUCUGACUUUCUGAGCUCACCCCAGGAGGAGCUGAAUCAUCCCAGGACCACCAAAGAUAAGAUGAAAAGAUCAUAGAAAUUGAUGUCUGGACAGCUGAGAUGACCUCCUGGUUCCACACAUCUGAUACUUGAAGGAUCUCAAUUUCAUCGUUUCUAAAAUAUGGGUAACAAAACUACCUUGCUUACCUCUCAUGAGGGUCAAAUAAGCUCAACCAUGGAUAGGUUUUCGUAAAUGACACUUUGCUAGGGGAUUAUUGGGGGCAGGAGAAGAAACAUCCUGUCAAGAAUCAACCAGGCAGAAGCUUCAAAAGAGGCCAGCAUCUUCCACUGCUCAUUGCCCCUGAGAUUUCUAAGUGGACAAAAUUACUUGGGCAAACAUCACAAGUAUGCUAGGGAGAUGUGAGGCUUCCCAGGAUGGCUGAGUGCCCCCCACUCUACCCGGGAUGAAGGCUUGGACAAUUCUUGACAAGUGAGCAGACCAGCUAAAUGGUGCCAACAGUGACUGAUGGGCAAGUUCCGAUUCAGCAACCAGAGCAGCUUAAGGGCACUACAAUAGUUCUCAGAUGAAAGACUCAAGAGCAAUGAGCAAUAUGAAUCUAUUAAUGACAAACUGUGUCAUGGAAAAUGGAUGAGCCUUGCGAUGAGUGUUAUAAAUGAGGGCAUA